CUUUCAUCCACCUCCACGUCUUUUGCAAAUUUGCAAUUCCUUUUCAUUUUGUCGUCGCUUCUCACCUCAAGACUCUAGGGCAUUUUGUUGCGAUUUUUGAGACCCAUUGAUUUUUGGAGUCUAGAGCAUUGUUGCAUCGCGCAUAAGAGAAAGAUCCAAUGAUGAGCUUCACAUCUCACAACACAGUUCUUGCCAUUAAAGACCCAUGCAAACAGAAUGAUCUGUGUGCUAUCAAUGGGAUUUUCCCUAUUUGGAAUUAAAGACCCAUGCCAUGCUCUCGUCGAUGCCAUUAAAGACAAACCCAUGGUUUGUGCCAUUGUCCUCGAUCCCUCGGUGUGCCAUCGUCUCUAUUUUCAUUGGUUUUUAAUUGAUUUAAAUUUUCUUAAAAUCUGUUAACUGUAAUAGGUUAAAUUUUUUGUUGUAAAUUUUGGAAUUAAUUGAUUGAAUUUGUUGCUGUUAAUAUUUUUUAUGAGUUGACUUAAUAUGCAAACUUUUUGUUAAUAGAAAUUGUUGCUGUGAAUUUGGUACUGAG
rnacentral:misc_RNA from 1 species